AGCUGCCAGGCUGCCAGCGAGGAACCGAGCCCUUCAGGGCGAGAUGUCAGGGAUCUGGAGCUGUGCAGGUGGUGCUAAUGCACAGAGUGAUCUCCUGGGUCCAGCAGCACCUGGCAGCCAGGCUAUAAAACCUGGUUCACGAGGCAGGCUGGGCUCUGGGGGAGCUAGGGGAGCUGCCUGAAGGAGCUCCAGAAGGCAGAGAUGCUCUAGCAAGACCCAAGGUGCUGGUGGCGGCAGGCUCAGGGCACGUGCAAUCAGGUUGGCAGCACAGGGCUGCCAAUGUGGAGCUUGGGGGAGUCAAUCACUGCUCUGGCUGGAUGAGCCACCCACUAACCCCUGCAAUAUAACGCACUGACCCUGCCGCCCUCACCCUGCUUUGGAAACACUGCACCAAGCCCGGCGCUGAGCUGUGGUGCUGAAAUCACUGACAAAUAGCCGCAUCACCCCGGGUACCCUCCUCCUGCCGACACGCUCACCAGCAGUGAGCUAAAUUAUUCAUAGCAGCAGUUCUGAACAGCACAGUCCGUGCACAACCGCGGUACUUGCACAGCGACCAUGGAUGCGUGGGGUUGGAUUACUUCGGCCAAGUACACGGCACAGACUGCAUGUGGAGGACGCUGGACAGGGCUGUCAAGGACGAUCACACAGUACACUGAGCCUUCUGGACAGCAGCCAGGCCGGGGAUUAAGCCUGACCCCAGAAAGCCGGCAGCCGCCUGCCCGGCAGGAGGAGCAGCGUUUGGCUGGAGGCAGAGCCUGCAGCGUGCUGAGCCCAUCAGGGUGCGUGGUGCUUCCCUGCUGACAUGGCAGUUUGGAGCCCUCGGAUUUGGGAUUCCCGUGAACUCCGGGCCCCUCCUGGCCGGCACGCUUACCGCUGGAGAAGUUGACGAUCCCCUCCUCCACCACCAAGGUGGGCAUCGCCCCGCUGCCCUGCAGCAUCGACACCACCUUGUCGUGGGAGCAGUUCCUGCGGGGCACAGGAGAGCCGGUCAGAGCUGAGCUGCCCUCCUCUGUCUGGCAAACAGCCCCGGCUGG